UAUAUUUAAUGUGGGGUAUAUUUUAUUGCAUUUGCAACAAAAUCACGAUAGGGAGUUGAUGAUGAAGAAGAUUUUUGGAAUGGUA
rnacentral:tRNA from 1 species